rnacentral:rRNA from 1 species
GACGAACGCUGGCGGCGUGCUUAACACAUGCAAGUCGAACGAAGUGGCGAACGGGUGAGUAACGCGUAAUCAACCUGCCCUUCAGAGGGGGACAACAGUUGGAAACGACUGCUAAUACCGCAUACUGAAGGAGGGGUUUGCGUCUGCUAAGCUAGUUGGGGGGGUAACGGCCCACCAAGGCGAGGAUCAGUAGCCGGUCUGAGAUGAUGAACGGACACAUUGGGACUGGGACACGGCCCAGACUCCUACGGGAGGCAGCAGUGGGGAAACUUCGGAAAUGGAGGAAAGUCUGACGGAGCAAAGCCGCGUGAGUGAGGACGGCCUUCGGGUUGUAAAGCUCUGUUAAUCGGGACGCGGUACCGGAAUAGAAAGCAACGGCUAACGACGAGCCAGCAGCCGCGGUAAUUC